AUUGAACGCUGGCGGCAGGCCUAACACAUGCAAGUCGAAUGGUAACAGGAAACAGCUUGCUGUUUCGCUGACGAGUGGCGGACGGGUGCGUAAUGUCUGGGAAACUGCCUGAUGGAGGGGGAUAACUACUGGAAACGGUAGCUAAUACCGCAUAACGCCGCAAGACAAAAGAGGGGGACCUUCGGGCCUCUUGCCAUCAGAUGAGCCCAGAUGGGAUUAGCUAGUAGGUGGGGUAACGGCUCACCUAGGAGACGAUCCCUAGCUGGUCUGAGAGGAUGACCAGCCACCCUGGAACUGGGCCACGGUCCAGACUCCUACGGGAGGCGGCAGUGGGGAAUAUUGCACAAUGGGCGCAGGCCUGAUGCAGCCAGGCCGCGUGUAUGAGGAGGGCCUUCGGGUUGUAAAGUACGUUCAGCGGGGAGGAAGGGAGUAAAGUUAAUACCUUUGCUCAUUGACGUUACCCGCAGAAGAAGCACCGGCUAACUCCGUG
rnacentral:rRNA from 1 species